rnacentral:rRNA from 1 species
UACGUAGGGGGCUAGCGUUGUCCGGAAUUAUUGGGCGUAAAGGGCGCGUAGGCGGUGCGGUAAGUCUGAUGUGAAAUCUCACAGCUUAACUGUGAAACUGCAUUGGAUACUAUCCGGCUCGAGGAAUGGAGGGGAGACUGGAAUACUUGGUGUAGCAGUGAAAUGCGUAGAUAUCAAGUGGAACACCAGUGGCGAAGGCGAGUCUCUGGACAUUUCCUGACGCUGAGGCACGAAAGCCAGGGGAGCAAACGGG